CGGCGUGCUUAACACAUGCAAGUCGAACGGAAAGGCCCUGCUUUUGUGGGGUGCUCGAGUGGCGAACGGGUGAGUAACACGUGAGUAACCUGCCCUUGACUUUGGGAUAACUUCAGGAAACUGGGGCUAAUACCGGAUAGGAGCUCCUGCUGCAUGGUGGGGGUUGGAAAGUUUCGGCGGUUGGGGAUGGACUCGCGGCUUAUCAGCUUGUUGGUGGGGUAGUGGCUUACCAAGGCUUUGACGGGUAGCCGGCCUGAGAGGGUGACCGGCCACAUUGGGACUGAGAUACGGCCCAGACUCCUACGGGAGGCAGCAGUGGGGAAUAUUGCACAAUGGGCGGAAGCCUGAUGCAGCAACGCCGCGUGCGGGAUGACGGCCUUCGGGUUGUAAACCGCUUUCGCCUGUGACGAAGCGUGAGUGACGGUAAUGGGUAAAGAAGCACCGGCUAACUACGUGCCAGCAGCCGCGGUGAUACGUAGGGUACGAGCGUUGUCCGGAUUUAUUGGGCGUAAAGGGCUCGUAGGUGGUUGAUCGCGUCGGAAGUGUAAUCUUGGGGCUUAACCCUGAGCGUGCUUUCGAUACGGGUUGACUUGAGGAAGGUAGGGGAGAAUGGAAUUCCUGGUGGAGCGGUGGAAUGCGCAGAUAUCAGGAGGAACACCAGUGGCGAAGGCGGUUCUCUGGGCCUUUCCUGACGCUGAGGAGCGAAAGCGUGGGGAGCGAACAGGCUUAGAUACCCUGGUAGUCCACGCUGUAAACGGUGGGUACUAGGUGUGGGGUCCAUUCCACGGGUUCCGUGCCGUAGCUAACGCUUUAAGUACCCCGCCUGGGGAGUACGGCCGCAAGGCUAAAACUCAAAGGAAUUGACGGGGCCCCGCACAAGCGGCGGAGCAUGCGGAUUAAUUCGAUGCAACGCGUAGAACCUUACCUGGGUUUGACAUGGAUCGGGAGUGCUCAGAGAUGGGUGUGCCUCUUUUGGGGUCGGUUCACAGGUGGUGCAUGGCUGUCGUCAGCUCGUGUCGUGAGAUGUUGGGUUAAGUCCCGCAACGAGCGCAACCCUUGUUCACUGUUGCCAGCACGUUAUGGUGGGGACUCAGUGGAGACCGCCGGGGUCAACUCGGAGGAAGGUGGGGAUGACGUCAAGUCAUCAUGCCCCUUAUGUCCAGGGCUUCACGCAUGCUACAAUGGCUGGUACAGAGAGUGGCGAGCCUGUGAGGGUGAGCGAAUCUCGGAAAGCCGGUCUCAGUUCGGAUUGGGGUCUGCAACUCGACCUCAUGAAGUCGGAGUCGCUAGUAAUCGCAGAUCAGCAACGCUGCGGUGAAUACGUUCCCGGGGCUUGUACACACCGCCCGUCACACCACGAAAGUUGGUAACACCCGAAGCCGGUGAGGUAACCUAUUAGGAGCCAGCCGUCUAAGGUGGGGCCGAUGAUUGG
rnacentral:rRNA from 1 species